rnacentral:rRNA from 1 species
AGGUUCAAAUAUAGAGGGAAAAGAGCUCAUGAACAAAAGUGCAUCCCCUUUUCUAAUUGGUUAAGGGUCUUGGGAUAUUUGGGGUUAAGCGUCCUUGGGUUUGAAUAGUACUGGGUUGGGUGACCUCCCGGGAAGUCCAAACUUAGAAGCUU